GAGAUAGUAAAGUGGCGUACGGGUGAGUAACGCGUGGGUAAUCUACCCCUGAAUUUUGGGAUAACAUUGCGAAAGCGAUGCUAAUACCGGAUGAGGUCAAUGGUGCUUUGGCAACAUUGAUGAAAGGUGGCCGCUCCAUAGAAGCUACUGUUUGGAGAUGAGCCCGCGUACCAUUAGCUUGUUGGUAGGGUAAAGGCCUACCAAGGCGACGAUGGUUAGCUGGUCUGAGAGGGUGAUCAGCCACGCUGGAACUGACACACGGUCCAGACUCCUACGGGAGGCAGCAGUGAGGAAUUUUGCGCAAUGGGGGGAACCCUGACGCAGCAACGCCGCGUGAGUGAUGAAGGCCUUCGGGUCGUAAAGCUCUGUCAAGUGGGAAGAACCUGUUUACGGAUAAUAUUCGUAGGCACUGACGGUACCACUGAAGGAAGCACCGGCUAACUCCGUGCCAGCAGCCGCGGUAAUACGGGGGGUGCAAGCGUUAUUCGGAAUUAUUGGGCGUAAAGGGCGCGUAGGCGGUC
rnacentral:rRNA from 1 species